rnacentral:rRNA from 1 species
ACUCCUACGGGAGGCAGCAGUAGGGAAUCUUCCACAAUGGGCGCAAGCCUGAUGGAGCAACACCGCGUGAGUGAAGAAGGGUUUCGGCUCGUAAAGCUCUGUUGUUAAAGAAGAACACGUAUGAGAGUAACUGUUCAUACGUUGACGGUAUUUAACCAGAAAGUCACGGCUAACUACGUGCCGGCAGCCGCGGUAAUACGUAGGUGGCAAGCGUUAUCCCGGAUUUAUUGGGCGUAAAGAGAGUGCAGGCGGUUUUCUAAGUCUGAUGUGAAAGCCUUCGGCUUAACCGGAGAAGUGCAUCGGAAACUGGAUAACUUGAGUGCAGAAGAGGUAGUGGAACUCCAUGUGUAGCGGUGGAAUGCGUAGAUAUAUGGAAGAACACCAGUGGCGAAGGCGGCUACCUGGUCUGCAACUGACGCUGAGACUCGAGAGCAUGGGUAGCGAACAGGAUUAGAUACCCCUGGUAGGAUAGCG